rnacentral:rRNA from 1 species
CUUCUCCGCCGGCGACCGGCGCACGGGUGAGUAACACGUAUGCAACCUGCCCUGUCAGGGGACAACCCGCCGAAAGGCGGGCUAAACCCGCGUACAUGCCACCGGGGCAUCCCGGAGGCAGGAAAGGCUUCGGCCGGACAGGGAUGGGCAUGCGGCGCAUUAGGCAGUAGGCGGGGUAACGGCCCACCUAACCGACGAUGCGUAGGGGUUCUGAGAGGAAGGUCCCCCACACUGGUACUGAGACACGGACCAGACUCCUACGGGAGGCAGCAG